GAUGAACGCUGGCGGCGUGCCUAAUACAUGCAAGUCGAGCGAACGGACGAGAAGCUUGCUUCUCUGAUGUUAGCGGCGGACGGGUGAGUAACACGUGGAUAACCUACCUAUAAGACUGGGAUAACUUCGGGAAACCGGAGCUAAUACCGGAUAAUAUUUUGAACCGCAUGGUUCAAAAGUGAAAGACGGUCUUGCUGUCACUUAUAGAUGGAUCCGCGCUGCAUUAGCUAGUUGGUAAGGUAACGGCUUACCAAGGCAACGAUGCAUAGCCGACCUGAGAGGGUGAUCGGCCACACUGGAACGGAGACACGGUCCAGACUCCUACGGGAGGCAGCAGUAGGGAAUCUUCCGCAAUGGGCGAAAGCCUGACGGAGCAACGCCGCGUGAGUGAUGAAGGUCUUCGGAUCGUAAAACUCUGUUAUUAGGGAAGAACAUAUGUGUAAGUAACUGUGCACAUCUUGACGGGACCUAAUCAGAAAGCCACGGCUAACGACG
rnacentral:rRNA from 1 species